rnacentral:ncRNA from 1 species
AUCUUCAGGGCAGGGUGAGAUUCCCUACCGGUGGUAAAGCCCACGAGCCGCGAGGUUGAUUCGGUGAGAGUCCGAAGCCGACAGUAUAGUCUGGAUGAAAGAAGAUA